GACGAACGCUGGCGGCGUGCUUAACACAUGCAAGUCGAACGGAGUGGCGAACGGGUGAGUAACACGUGGGUGAUCUGCCUUGCACUUCGGGAUAAGCUUGGGAAACUGGGUCUAAUACCGGAUAGUGCAAGAUGAGCUCGCGGCCUAUCGGCUUGUUGGUGUGGUAAUGGCCUACCAAGGCGUCGACGGGUAGACGGCCUGAGCGGGUGGACGGCCACAUUGGGACUGAGAUACGGCGCAGAGUCCGACGGGAGGAAGCAGCGGGGAAGAUUGAAGAAUGGGCGGAAGCCGGAUGCAGCGACACCGAGGCGGGGAUGAAGGCAUUCGGGUUGUAAACUCAUUGAGACAGGGAUGCGGUACCUGUAGAAGAAGCACCGGCUAACUACGUGCCAGCAGCCGCGGUAAUUC
rnacentral:rRNA from 1 species